GACGAACGCUGGCGGCGUGCUUAACACAUGCAAGUCGAACGGAAAGGCCCUGCUUUUGUGGGGUGCUCGAGUGGCGAACGGGUGAGUAACACGUGAGUAACCUGCCCUUGACUUUGGGAUAACUUCAGGAAAAUCGGGCUAAUACCGGAUAGGAGCUCCUGCUGCAUGGUGGGGGUUGGAAAGUUUCGGCGGUUGGGGCUGGACUGGAGGCUUAUGAGCUUGAUGGGGGGGUAGGGGCUUACCAAGGUUUUGAAGGGUAGGCGGCAUGAGAGGGUGACCGGCCACAUGGGGACUGAGGGACGCCCCAGACGCGUACGGGAGGCAGCAGGGGGAAAUAUUGCGCAAUGGGCGGAAGUGUGAGGCAGCAACGCCGCGUGCGUGAUGACGGCCUUCUGGUUAUAAACCGCUUUCUCCGUAGACGAGGCGGUAGUGACGGUAAUGGGUAAGGAAGCACCGGCUAACUACGUG
rnacentral:rRNA from 1 species